rnacentral:rRNA from 1 species
UACGUAGGGUGCAAGCGUUAUCCGGAAUUAUUGGGCGUAAAGAGCUCGUAGGCGGUUUGUCGCGUCUGCUGUGAAAACUGGAGGCUCAACCUCCAGCCUGCAGUGGGUACGGGCAAACUAGAGUGCGGUAGGGGAGAUUGGAAUUCCUGGUGUAGCGGUGGAAUGCGCAGAUAUCGCUUGGAACGCCGACGGUGAAAACAGGUCGCUGGGAAUGUGCCGACGCUGAGACACGAAAGCCAGGGGAGCAAACGGG